CAUUUAGCCACAUUUAGUUUGAGAAGUGUUUACAACUGACACACAUUUCUGACAUCUCUUCCCAGUGCCAAGGACCCAUUACAGGUGGCUGUGGCCAAAGAGUGCCCUCUGGUGCCUGAACAGGCCCACGCAUCGAGCGCUGAUCCCCAGCCAGAUCACUCCAUCACCUUGGAAACUUGUAGGCAGGCUGUUAGGGAGCUUCACAACAGUCUGAGGAAAACGGCCACGCUCUACACUACGGUGCUACUACGCGGCCAACAGCCCAGUGAAGAUCAGCAAGAAAUGAGGAGCAUUCUGUCCGAGGCCCUGUUCACCGUCAAGGCUGAGCUGGACUCUCUGUCUCACCCCCCCUCACAGUGGGAAGGGCCCCGAGUGGACCAUGGGGUCAAAGGUGAAGGAGAGAAGGCCCUGGCUCUGCUGGAGCAGUACGCUGAGCUGCUGCUUAAGUCUGUGGAGAGGAGACUAGACACCAAGACGUGAGGAGGCUAGACUGAUGUUUGCCCUUAUGGAGCUAAAUCAGGG
rnacentral:lncRNA from 1 species